rnacentral:misc_RNA from 1 species
AGCAGCCGCGGUAAUUCCAGCUCCAAUAGCGUAUAUUAAAGUUGUUGCAGUUAAAAAGCUCGUAGUUGAAUUUCGGGAUUAAUAUGUUGGUCGUGCCUUGGUACGUACUGGCAUUAUUGAUUCCUACCUUCUGAAGAACCUCGAUGUCAUUAAUUUGGUGUCUUGGGGAAUCAGGACCGUUACUUUGAAAAAUUAGAGUGUUUAAAGCAGGCUCGCGCUUGAAUACAUUAGCAUGGAAUAAUGAAAUAGGACGUUUGAUUCUAUUUUGUUGGUUUCUAGGAUCGACGUAAUGAUUAAUAGGGAUAGUUGGGGGCAUUAGUAUUCAAUUGUCAGAGGUGAAAUUCUUGGAUUUAUUGAAGACUGACUACUGCGAAAGCAUUUGCCAAGGAUGUUUUCAUUAAUCAAGAACGAAAGUUAGGGGAUCGAAGACGAUCAGAUACCGUCGUAGUCUUAACCAUAAACUAUGCCGACUAGGGAUCGGAUGAUGUUAAUUUUUAAUGACUCAUUCGGCGCCUUAAC